rnacentral:lncRNA from 1 species
CCUGUCGAUCCAAGCUCUCAACAGAGACCUCCUUAUAAGACAAAGAAUCCAAGAUACCAAUAUCCUUGAUAGGAAAGAUUUGAGAGGAAUCACCCAUACACUUCCUCAAAAUAGAAACAUAGAAAAAUGGGUGAGUGGAGCUCAAAUUAGAAGGCAACUCCAAUUCAUAUACAACAUUGCCAACCCGUCUCAAAGCCAAGUACGGACCAAUAUACCAGGGACUGAUCUUCCCCUUC